GACGAACGCUGGCGGCAUGCCUAAUACAUGCAAGUUGAACGAUGAUAUUCUCUGCUUGCAGAGAAUUGAAGAGUAGCGAACGGGUGAGUAGCACGUGGGGAACCUGCCCAUGAGAGGGGGAUAACAUUCGGAAACGGAUGCUAAUACCGCAUAAUGCUUUGGACCGCCUGGUCCAGAGACGAAAGACGGCUUUUGCUGUCACUCAUGGAUGGCCCCGCGCCGUAUUAGCUAGUUGGUGAGGUAAUGGCUCACCAAAGCUGUGAUACGUAGCCGACCUGAGAGGGUGAUCGGCCACACUGGGACUGAGACACGGCCCAGACUCCUACGGGAGGCAGCAGUAGGGAAUCUUCCACAAUGGGCGAAAGCCUGAUGGAGCAAUGCCGCGUGAAUGAAGAAGGUCUUCGGAUCGUAAAGUUCUGUUAUUAGAGAAGAACAAGUCAAGGAGUAACUGUCUUGACUUUGACGGUACCUAACCAGAAAGUCACGGCUAACUACGUG
rnacentral:rRNA from 1 species